GAUAGCUGUCAAUGCGUGGUUGUGGUCCACUGUGUUCCAUACAAGAGACCUGGUGUGGACAGAGAGACUGGAUUACUUCAGUGCAACGUCCAUAAUUUUCUUCCAGCUGUUUCACUGUUUCAGAAGAUGUUUUGGUGGUUUCUGGAAGUCCCUAAUAUUCGGAGCUGUUCUGCUCAGACUGUUUGCCGGUCAUGUGUACUACCUGUCUGCUGUCAAGUUCGACUAUGGCUACAACAUGAAGGUCAUGGUCA